GACGAACGCUGGCGGCGUGCCUAAUACAUGCAAGUUGAACGCAUUUUCUUCCACCGUAGCUUGCUACACCGGAAGAAAAUGAGUGGCGAACGGGUGAGUAACACGUGGGUAACCUGCCCAUCAGCGGGGGAUAACACUUGGAAACAGGUGCUAAUACCGCAUAAUUCCAUCUACCGCAUGGUAGAUGGAUGAAAGGCGCUUUUGCGUCACUGAUGGAUGGACCCGCGGUGCAUUAGCUAGUUGGUGGGGUAACGGCCUACCAAGGCUGCGAUGCAUAGCCGACCUGAGAGGGUGAUCGGCCACACUGGGACUGAGACACGGCCCCAG
rnacentral:rRNA from 1 species